UAGGGAAUCUUCGGCAAUGGACGAAAGUCUGACCGAGCAACGCCGCGUGAGUGAAGAAGGUUUUCGGAUCGUAAAACUCUGUUGGUAAAGAAGAACAAGGGUGAGAGUAAAAUGUUCACCCUCCUGACGGUAUUUACCCAGAAAGCCACGGCUAACUACGUGCCAGCAGCCGCGGUAAUACGUAGGUGGCAAGCGUUGUCCGGAUUUAUUGGGCGUAAAGCGGGCGCAGGCGGUCUUCUAAGUCUGAUGUGAAAGCCCCGGCUCAACCGGGGAGGGUCAUUGGAAACUGGGAGACUUGAGUGCAGAAGAGGAGAGUGGAAUUCCAGGUGUAGGAGUGAAAUCCGUAGAUAUCUGGAGGAACAUCAGUGGCGAAGGCGACUAUCUGGCACAUAACUGACACUGAGGAGCGAAAGCGUGGGUAGCAAAGCAGGAUUAGAUACCCC
rnacentral:rRNA from 1 species